UACGAAGGGGGCUAGCGUUGCUCGGAAUCACUGGGCGUAAAGCGCACGUAGGCGGCUUGUUAAGUCAGGGGUGAAAUCCUGGAGCUCAACUCCAGAACUGCCUUUGAUACUGGCGAGCUUGAGUUCGGGAGAGGUGAGUGGAACUGCGAGUGUAGAGGUGAAAUUCGUAGAUAUUCGCAAGAACACCAGUGGCGAAGGCGGCUCACUGGCCCGAUACUGACGCUGAGGUGCGAAAGCUAGGGGAGCAAACAGGG
rnacentral:rRNA from 1 species